rnacentral:rRNA from 1 species
GAUGAACGCUGGCGGCGUGCCUAGUACAUGCAAGUCGAACGGCAGCACGGGUGCUUGCACCUGGUGGCGAGUGGCGAACGGGUGAGUAAUAUAUCGGAACGUACCUUAUUGUGGGGGAUAACGCAGCGAAAGCUGUGCUAAUACCGCAUAAUCCCUAAGGGGGAAAGCGGGGGACCGUAAGGCCUCGCGCAAUUAGAGCGGCCGAUACCUGAUUAGCUAGUUGGUGAGGUAAAGGCUCAACAAGGCAACGAUCAGUAGCUGGUCUGAGAGGACGAUCAGCCACACUGGGCCUGGGACCCGGCCCAGACUCAUACGGGAGGCAGCAGUGGGGAAGUUUGGACAAUGGGGGCAACCCUGAUCCAGCAAUGCCGCGUGAGUGAAGAAGGCCUUCGGGUUGUUAAGCUCUUUUGUCAGGGAAGAAACAGCAGCUCUAACACAGUUUGCGAAUGACGGUACCUGAAGAAUAAGCACCGGCUAACUACGUGCCAGCAGCCGCAGUAA